UUUUAUCGCUAGGGGAGUCUAAAUAAGACUGAGACAGAGAUGUUCUGGACCCUUUGAACUUGAUCCAGUUUAUGCUGGCGUAAGGAAGUGGGAGUAAGAGAUA
rnacentral:ncRNA from 2 species